rnacentral:tRNA from 1 species
UCGCCGGGGAGUAUUAAAUAGUACAUGUGCCUUCCAAGCACGGGGUCUGAAGGAAGAUUCAGUCUGGUGAG